GCGACCCCAGGAUGGGCGAGACCACCCGCCGAGUUU
rnacentral:rRNA from 2 species